rnacentral:rRNA from 1 species
GACGAACGCUGGCGGCGUGCUUAACACAUGCAAGUCGAACGGAAAGGCCCUGCUUUUGUGGGGUGCUCGAGUGGCGAACGGGUGAGUAACACGUGAGUAACCUGCCCUUGACUUUGGGAUAACUUCAGGAAACUGGGGCUAAUACCGGAUAGGAGCUCCUGCUGCAUGGUGGGGGUUGGAAAGUUUCGGCGGUUGGGGAUGGACUCGCGGCUUAUCAGCUUGUUGGUGGGGUAGUGGCUUACCAAGGCUUUGACGGGUAGCCGGCCUGAGAGGGUGACCGGCCACAUUGGGACUGAGAUACGGCCCAGACUCCUACGGGAGGCAGCAGUGGGGAAUAUUGCACAAUGGGCGGAAGCCUGAUGCAGCAACGCCGCGUGCGGGAUGACGGGCUUCGGGUUGUAAACCGCUUUCGCCUGUGACGAAGCGUGAGUGACGGUAAUGGGUAAAGAAGCACCGGCUAACUACGUG